rnacentral:rRNA from 1 species
ACGAACGCUGGCGGCACACUUAACACAUGCAAGUCGAACGAGAGAAGAGGAGCUUGCUUUUCUGAUCUAGUGGCGGACGGGUGAGUAACACGUGAGCAAUCUGCCUUUCAGAGGGGGAUACCGAUUGGAAACGAUCGUUAAUACCGCAUAACAUAAUUGAACCGCAUGAUUUGAUUAUCAAAGAUUUAUCGCUGAAAGAUGAGCUCGCGUCUGAUUAGCUAGUUGGUAAGGUAACGGCUUACCAAGGCGACGAUCAGUAGCCGGACUGAGAGGUUGAUCGGCCACAUUGGGACUGAGACACGGCCCAGACUCCUACGGGAGGCAGCAGUGGGGAAUAUUGCACAAUGGAGGAAACUCUGAUGCAGCGAUGCCGCGUGAGGGAAGAAGGUUUUAGGAUUGUAAACCUCUGUCUUCAGGGACGAAAAAUGACGGUACCUGAGGAGGAAGCUCCGGCUAACUACGUGCCAGCAGCCGCGGUAAUACGUAGGGAGCGAGCGUUGUCCGGAAUUACUGGGUGUAAAGGGAGCGUAGGCGGGAUCGCAAGUCAGAUGUGAAAACUAUGGGCUUAACCCAUAAACUGCAUUUGAAACUGUGGUUCUUGAGUGAAGUAGAGGUAAGCGGAAUUCCUAGUGUAGCGGUGAAAUGCGUAGAUAUUAGGAGGAACAUCAGUGGCGAAGGCGGCUUACUGGGCUUUAACUGACGCUGAGGCUCGAAAGCGUGGGGAGCAAACAGGAUUAGAUACCCUGGUAGUCCACGCCGUAAACGAUGAUUACUAGGUGUGGGGGGACUGACCCCUUCCGUGCCGCAGCAAACGCAAUAAGUAAUCCACCUGGGGAGUACGACCGCAAGGUUGAAACUCAAAGGAAUUGACGGGGGCCCGCACAAGCAGUGGAGUAUGUGGAUUAAUUCGAAGCAACGCGAAGAACCUUACCAGGUCUUGACAUCGUAUGCAUAGCUCAGAGAUGAGUGAAAUCUCUUCGGAGACAUAUAGACAGGUGGUGCAUGGUUGUCGUCAGCUCGUGUCGUGAGAUGUUGGGUUAAGUCCCGCAACGAGCGCAACCCUUACUGUUAGUUGCUACGCAAGAGCACUCUAGCAGGACUGCCGUUGACAAAACGGAGGAAGGUGGGGAUGACGUCAAAUCAUCAUGCCCCUUAUGACCUGGGCCUCACACGUACUACAAUGGCUGUCAACAGAGGGAAGCAAAGCCGCGAGGUGGAGCAAACCCCUAAAAGCAGUCUUAGUUCGGAUUGUAGGCUGCAACCCGCCUACAUGAAGUCGGAAUUGCUAGUAAUCGCAGAUCAGCAUGCUGCGGUGAAUACGUUCCCGGGCCUUGUACACACCGCCCGUCACGCCAUGGGAGUCGGUAACACCCGAAGCCUGUAGUCUAACCGCAAGGAGGACGCAGUCGAAGGUGGGAUUGAUGACUGGGGUG